rnacentral:rRNA from 1 species
AUUGAACGCUGGCGGCAGGCCUAACACAUGCAAGUCGAGCGGUAGAGAGAAGCUUGCUUCUCUUGAGAGCGGCGGACGGGUGAGUAAUGCCUAGGAAUCUGCCUAGUGGUGGGGGAUAACGUUCGGAAACGGACGCUAAUACCGCAUACGUCCUACGGGAGAAAGCGGGGGAUCUUCGGACCUCGCGCCAUUAGAUGAGCCUAGGUCGAAUUAGCUAGUUGGUGAGGUAAUGGCUCACCAAGGCGACGAUCCGUAACUGGUCUGAGAGGAUGAUCAGUCACACUGGAACUGAGACACGGUCCAGACUCCUACGGGAGGCAGCAGUGGGGAAUAUUGGACAAUGGGCGAAAGCCUGAUCCAGCCAUGCCGCGUGUGUGAAGAAGGUCUUCGGAUUGUAAAGCACUUUAAGUUGGGAGGAAGGGUAGUAACCUAAUACGUUGCUACUUUGACGUUACCGACAGAAUAAGCACCGGCUAACUCUGUGCCAGCAGCCGCCGUAAUAC